AUUAGGAUGCCCCAAUCCCUGGCCACCUCAUGGCCUUGAGCAGGAGUGUGAGAUGUAUAAAAGGUGGGCCGGCUGGCAUCUCGCAAACUCCUUGACUUCUCCACGCUCUGGUCCCUGGAGAACUGCGUUGCAGGUCUAACCCAGAAUGUCUCAGCAAAAACAGAAGCAGUGCUGCCCCCCACCUCAGCAGUGCUGCCCCCCACCUCAGCAGUGUUGCCCCCCACCCCAGCAGUGCUGCCCCCCACCGAAGCAGUGCUGCCCCCCAGCUCAGCAGACCAAACAGCCUUGCCAGCCUCCACCCAAGUGCCAACAGAAGUGCCCACCUCCUCAGCAGUGCCAGAAGUCCAAGCAGAAGUGAGACUGAGACAUGUCACCAGAGGCAAGUCCCAGAGAAGCAACAAGAAGUCCCCUAAUCAGCAUCCUGUACCCCUCCUCCAUCAGAAGCAGGAGCAGCUCAUCUUGCUUCUGGAUGCAGCCGCUCUUCACUCUGUGAGGAGGCAGCACCAGAACCAUGCUUUCCUCCUUCCCUGCCUCUUCUUAAUUAGCAGCUGCAGUUUCCAUCUCAGACAAGGAUCUGGCUCUAAAGUGUCUACUCAUCUUCAGUGACAUGCAUCUACAUUGCCCUGCUGGAAACUUGGGCACCACACCCAAACACUCUUUCCCAUCACCGUCUCCAAAUCAUUACAGUAAAUUCCUCUGGCAUGA